AGUGAACGCUGGCGGUAGGCCUAACACAUGCAAGUCGAACGGCAGCACAGUAAGAGCUUGCUCUUACGGGUGGCGAGUGGCGGACGGGUGAGGAAUACAUCGGAAUCUACUUUUUCGUGGGGGAUAACGUAGGGAAACUUACGCUAAUACCGCAUACGACCUACGGGUGAAAGCAGGGGAUCUUCGGACCUUGCGCGAUUGAAUGAGCCGAUGUCGGAUUAGCUAGUUGGCGGGGUAAAGGCCCACCAAGGCGACGAUCCGUAGCACGUCUGAGAGGAUGAUCAGCCACACUGGAACUGAGACACGGUCCAGACUCCUACGGGAGGCAGCAGUGCGGAAUAUUGGACGAUGGGCGCAAGCCUGAUCCAGCCAUACCGCGUGGGUGAAGAAGGCCUUCGGGUUGUAAAGCCCUUUUGUUGGGAAAGAAAAGCAGCAGGUUAAUACCCCGCUGUUCUGACGGUACCCAAAGAAUAAGCACCGGCUAACUUCGUG
rnacentral:rRNA from 1 species